rnacentral:rRNA from 1 species
UACGUAGGUGGCAAGCGUUGUCCGGAUUUAUUGGGUUAAGGGUGCGUAGGCGGCUUUGUAAGUCAGUGGUGAAAUAUGGCAGCUCAACGUGUCAAGGUGCCAUUGAUACUGCGGAGCUUGAGUACAGAUGAGGUAGGCGGAAUUGACGGUGUAGCGGUGAAAUGCUUAGAUAUCGUCAAGAACACCUAUAGCGAAGGCAGCUUACUAGGCGUGUAACUGACGCUGAGGCACGAAAGUGUGGGGAGUCAAA